GACGAACGCUGGCGGCGUGCCUAAUACAUGCAAGUCGAACGCAGUUGGGACGGGUGAGUAACACGUGGGUAACCUCCCCUCAGAGGGGAUAACACUUGGAAACAGGUGCUAAACCGAUACUGAUGGAUGGACCCGUGGUGCAUUAGCUAGUUGGUGAGGUAACGGCGCACCAAGGCCACGAUGCAUAGCUGGCCUGAGAGGAUGAUCAGCCACACUGGGACUGAGACACGGCCCAGACUCCUACGGGAGGCAGCAGUAGGGAAUCUUCGGCAAUGGACGAAAGUCUGACCGAGCAACGCCGCGUGAGUGAAGAAGGUUUUCGGAUCGUAAAACUCUGUUGUUAGAGAAGCGUUAUCUAACCAGAAAGCAACGGCUAACUACGUGCCAGCAGCCGCGGUAAUUC
rnacentral:rRNA from 1 species